GACGAGCGCUGGCGGCGUGCUUAACACAUGCAAGUCGAACGAAGUGGCGAACGGGUGAGUAAUACGUGAGUAACCUGCCCUCCUUUUUGGGAUAAGCCUUGGAAACGGGGUCUAAUAACGAAUAAAGGGGGAUGGGCUCGCGGCCUAUCAGCUUGUUGGUGGGGUAGUGGCCUACAAAGGCGAAGACGGGUAGCCGGCCGGAGAGGGCGACCGGCCACAUUGGGACUGAGGUACGGCCCAAAGUCCUGCGGGAGGCAGCAGUGGGGAAUAUUGCACAAUGGGGGAAACCCUGAUGCAGCAACGCCGCGUGCGGGAUGACGGCCUGCGGGUUGUAAUCCGCUUUCCGGAAGUGGAAGAAGAAACACCGGCUAACUACGUGCCAGCCGCCGCGGUAAUAC
rnacentral:rRNA from 1 species